GUCGAUCGAAAAUUGCAGCUGUCGCGCCAUAACCUCUAGGAAUUGCUCCGGGGGACGCCCUACCGUUUUCCCCGCAUUGUCGAGCCCCAAAAUCAAUAUGAAGUACUCGUCCUUUUGCACCAGGCCCGCACUUGUCACGCUCGUGCCAUGUUGGCCGAUCUGGGAGGGGCCGCUGCAUCCGGAGAACAAUGCCAGUGAAAGGCAUACGGCCAUGUUUACUCCUGCUUGUGGAUACGUUCCACUUUGACACUUGAGCAACACUCGACACGAGCUUCGUUUAAUUAAUGUUAUAUUAUGAGCUAAUUGUUUAAAUUUCAACGACCACGCUAAAACGCACAAGAGUGUUUUUCAUAGCAUCUCGUCGAUCAUAACUCUGAUAACGCCUGUGUUAUUAUAUUUAGCUCAGUAGAAACGUGAUAACGAUAAAUCUCGAAUAAUUCAGGAGUAAGCAUGGCGACGGGAGAUGCUCUCUGUGUCAAGCAGCUCUAUCCCGAAUCAUUUCGAUAUUUACGAUUUUUGCGAUUUAAUUAGAUCUGAAAGUGUUGGGAAGAUGAGAAAAUUUGGAGCGAAAACAUGGAGAACGUAAUUUAAGAGAAACAUCAGAGUGUAUCCUUGAAAUAUUUUAUUGUUGAUAAUGUGGAUGUCGCCUAGCUGCAAUACAUAUGCAUUCGUAAUCCAAAAGUAGUACGACUACCUUGUUUUAUGUACAACGCUUUAUUCAGUUACUUUAAUUUGUUUUACUUUACUUUUUUUUUUGCCCUCCACUUCCUCAUCUCACUACUCGUCGUUCAGUCUUGUCGUAAUAUAGUACUUAUGAAGCAGCACGGUGCACACGCUAGAGAAACUCCGUGUUAAACUUCGAAAUCCCAUUUGCUUUCCCUUUUUUUUUUCUCUCUUAAUACAAACGUCAGAUUUCGUUACCCUUGCGUUUUAUCUUAUUACAUUUAGGUAAAACCGUCGAAACCGCCUUCGAAGCCUAAUAACAGCCGCGGCGUAAAGCGCGAGAGCACGUUUCUUUAAAAAUCAUCAGUGCUCCUAUAAGCAGUAUAGUGUAUAUUCUCUUCCAAGACUAUCGUUUACAUUAAACAAUAUCCAAACGUUUAUCGGAGGGGAGAAGGGGGAGACAAAAUUUUUUUUUCCCAAAAUUUUGCACAUUACAUUAGUUGAGCUGUUACUUUUGAUGUUACGUUUUAUUUUCCGUUUUAUUCAACUCCGUUUUGCUCUGUAAACUAAUACCUUUUUUUUUUUACACACCUAAAAGAUUGCACUAUUUAUAGUGUCUAAUUUAGCGUUCGGUGGUUUAUGCCCACUUAAAGUGAAGCUCAAAACCCUUUUAACACCAACGAAGCUCGUGCUCCUUCAUACUAUUCUGAUACACUCACACACGCAUACCUAUAGGGCUAUAUUUAUAUAAACACAACUGCUAUUACUUCACAGUACAGUUUAAUAAAAAGAAUUCGAGAGUACGAAUGUAACGGAAACACAUAUCGACGUAUGCAUUAAGUAUGGAUGUAGAGUAAAGGCGGUUUAUCGUAUCGCGGUAAUUAAAGUCAGGUAAAUGUUCCUUUAAAAGAAAGAAAAAAGGAGAACGGAUAAAAAAAAAUAUAUAUAUAUCUCGCGUUAUGACGCGUCCCGUUACAAGCUGCGAAUCCAGCGCACGGACAUCUAACAUGGCUAUACAUUAUCGAUCAGAAUUUUACUCAUUCCAAUUCCGUUUCAAUGAAUCAGGCUACGUUUUUUUUGGAAAAAUCAAACGAUCCGGGCUGCCAGUCAAAAGUGGAGCAGCGCAGAUACGAUGCAGAUCUCUCUCUUUCUCUCUGUCGCGAUUUAACCAUGUCAAAUUCGUACUUAUUGGAGAGUAUUUGCCCUUGUAGAACGCGAAGCACGUUGCUCCACGGAAUCAUCCACCCUGUAUCGUUAUUUUUUUUA